GCUCUGAGCACUUGCAGUUGGCGAUAAUAUCUUGCUGUAAUUUGAAUUAAACCACUUGUAGCAGCGCUCUGUUCUCUAAUUUCAUUUAGGCCCAGUGGGUGUCCUGUCUUCCUGGAAUUUGUUGGUUAUCUAAUGAGGAGCAGCCCGGCAAAGCCAGCUAAUGAAGCAAGUCAGGCGUGUGCUGGGGCGAGAGGGACGGGCAGAGGGGCUGGUGGGAGCCACCGAGGGGUCUGGGGGGGCUCCUCGGGCACCGGGUGCUGGGUGGGCUGUCCCUGUGUCCCUGUGUCCCCGUGUCCCCGUGUCCCCGUGUCCCCGUGUCCCUGUGUCCCUGUCCCCGUGUCCCCGUGUCCCCGUGUCCCCAGGUCCCUCCUGACCCGGCGCUGAGCCCGGGCUGAGCCCCGAGCUGGUCCUGCCGGCCCCAGGGGUGUGUCUGGUCCUUGCCAUCUGCCUGUGAAAGGGCUAUUUGCUCUCCGGGGCUGUCCCUGCCCUGCUGCCGAGGAGCAGCUGUGCCCGAGGGGCCACCACGGGCCACCACGGGCCACCACGGGCCACCAUGGGCCACCAAGGGCCACCAAGG
rnacentral:lncRNA from 12 species